GAUGAAAAGAUUAAAUAAUUUUGGCCCUCAAAACAGCUGUUAGGCUUAGGCCUAUACCAUUUUGAUCUUCAAAAAAAAUUCGACUAUUCCAACUGGCAUUCCUGGGAGCCUGAUAACUAUGAAGGAAAUGAACACUGCAUUGCCAUCAACAACCGUGGUAGUGGUGUUUGGAUAUCUCUGAUAUGAAACUUUCCUUCUUCCUGACCGACAAAUAAAUAAA